rnacentral:rRNA from 1 species
AUGAACGCUAGCUACAGGCUUAACACAUGCAAGUCGAGGGGAAACGAUAUUGGAAGCUUGCUUCCGAUAGGCGUCGACCGGCGCACGGGUGAGUAACGCGUAUCCAACCUGCCCAUCACUUGGGGAUAACCUUGCGAAAGUAAGACUAAUACCCAAUGACGUCUCUAGAAGACAUCUGAAAGAGAUUAAAGAUUUAUCGGUGAUGGAUGGGGAUGCGUCUGAUUAGCUUGUUGGCGGGGUAACGGCCCACCAAGGCGACGAUCAGUAGGGGUUCUGAGAGGAAGGUCCCCCACAUUGGAACUGAGACACGGUCCAAACUCCUACGGGAGGCAGCAGUGAGGAAUAUUGGUCAAUGGGCGAGAGCCUGAACCAGCCAAGUAGCGUGCAGGAUGACGGCCCUAUGGGUUGUAAACUGCUUUUAUAAGGGAAUAAAGUGAGCUACGUGUAGCUUUUUGCAUGUACCUUAUGAAUAAGGACCGGCUAAUUCCGUGCCAGCAGCCGCGGUAAUACGGAAGGUCCGGGCGUUAUCCGGAUUUAUUGGGUUUAAAGGGAGCGUAGGCCGGAGAUUAAGCGUGUUGUGAAAUGUAGACGCUCAACGUCUGCACUGCAGCGCGAACUGGUUUCCUUGAGUACGCACAAAGUGGGCGGAAUUCGUGGUGUAGCGGUGAAAUGCUUAGAUAUCACGAAGAACUCCGAUUGCGAAGGCAGCUCACUGGAGCGCAACUGACGCUGAAGCUCGAAAGUGCGGGUAUCGAACAGGAUUAGAUACCCUGGUAGUCCGCACGGUAAACGAUGGAUGCCCGCUGUUGGUCUGAAUAGGUCAGCGGCCAAGCGAAAGCAUUAAGCAUCCCACCUGGGGAGUACGCCGGCAACGGUGAAACUCAAAGGAAUUGACGGGGGCCCGCACAAGCGGUGGAGCAUGUGGUUUAAUUCGAAGCAACGCGAAGAACCUUACCAGGUCUUGACAUCGAUCUAAAAGGGAUGGAGACAUCCUCAUAGCUAUAGAGAAGACAGGUGGUGCAUGGUUGUCGUCAGCUCGUGCCGUGAGGUGUCGGCUUAAGUGCCAUAACGAGCGCAACCCCUCUCCUUAGUUGCCAUCAGGUCAAGCUGGGCACUCUGGGGACACUGCCACCGUAAGGUGUGAGGAAGGUGGGGAUGACGUCAAAUCAGCACGGCCCUUACGUCCGGGGCUACACACGUGUUACAAUGGCAGGUACAGAGAGAUGGUGUUCUGCAAAGCGCAUCUAAUCCUUAAAGCCUGUCUCAGUUCGGACUGGGGUCUGCAACCCGACCCCACGAAGCUGGAUUCGCUAGUAAUCGCGCAUCAGCCAUGGCGCGGUGAAUACGUUCCCGGGCCUUGUACACACCGCCCGUCAAGCCAUGAAAGCCGGGGGCGCCUAAAGUCCGUGACCGUAAGGAGCGGCCUAGGGCGAAACUGGUAAUUGGGGCU